rnacentral:misc_RNA from 1 species
GUAAUUCUAUUAAGUAUUCUAUUACUACAGACUGAUAUGUAGAGCCUAUAUAAGAAAACUGUAAUCUAUUUAUUUAGUAUUUGGCGUUUACCAAGGAACCAAUCCGUGGAGAUAAGAAAAUUGACUAUCGAAAGGGAAAUGCUACCAAUGAAACUUCAUUACCUCUUCUAUUCAUUAGCUGCGGCAUCCAUUUUAAAUUACCUUUCACUAAUUACCAAAAACAUUGGAAUUAGUGCAACAGGAUUUGGUGUUACGUUUAUGAUAGUUCCAUUUAUUACCGUUUUUAUGAACCCAAUAUUUGGUUUCAUUACCGAUAAAUUCAAGGAAAUUAAAUUUAUCAUCAUGUUUCUUGUUGUUUUAAUUACACCAUCUUUAUUUUUUAUUAAUUUCAUUCCCGAAAUCAUAAAAGAAAAACACAUCUUUUCUGAUGUAAAAUUACAUUGUAAUAAAUAUAAUACGUCUCAAUUUCUAAUGAACAGUACGAAUGAAUGUCAAGUAGAAUGUUUAUAUUGUAAUAAUAGUGAUAUAUCAUGCCGAAAAGUAUAUAAAUUAACCACUAAACAAUUUUCUAAUAACACACAAGCCUUAGAAAUACAGAACAUCACCUUCCAGUAUAAUAAUCGUACGUCUUCUAUCUGUUUUAAUGAAUUACAAGAUGAUUGUAUUGCCUCGUGUUCUAUAGAAGAUCGAGUAAUCAAUUCAUUUCAUCACUACCAAUUUUGGUUAUUUGUAAUUUUAUCAAUCACAUCUAUUAUUGUCUCCAAUGGUAUCACAUCUUUAACAGAUGCUGCUUGUUACGAAUUUCUAAAUGGACGUGUUAAUCAGUUUGGCAAACAAAGAUUAUGGCUUUCACUUGGUUGGGGAGUUUUAUCUUUGGCUACGGGAUCCAUUGUAGAUGCCGUAAACGUUAGCACAGAUAAAACUGAUUUUUCAAUAUGUUCUUAUAUAAUGUUACCUUUAAUGCUCUGCGACAUUAUUGUAUUGAAAUUUACAGACAUAAGAAAAGAAAAAUCUUCGAGUAAUAUACUAAGAGAUAUUCAGAAAAUAUUCGUAAAACCUCAUCCCAUUUUCUUCAUCACAGCUGUAUUUCUUAUGGGUGUAUUCUCUAGUUUACAGUCUAAUUAUGCUUAUUGGUUUUUGGAAGAAAUUGGUGCUAGUAAGUUAUUAUUGGGAAUAAGUACAGCAAUUCAAUGUUUUUGUGGUGAUAUUCCAUUUAUGUUCGUUUCUGGAUGGAUUAUCAAAAGAAUUGGAAGAGAUAACAGCAUGUGUUUAGCUUUCAUUGCGUUUUCAAUUUCGUUUUUAGGUAUUUCUUUUAUCUACGAACCUUGGUUGAUUUUAUUACCGUAUUUAGUACAGGGUCCUACUUACGGUCUGUUUUAUGCAACGAUGACUUCAUAUGGAAAAAUAAUAGCUCCAGAUGGAACGGAGGCAAGCAUGCAAACCAUGCUAGGAGCAGCUUUUCAUGGUUUAGGUGUAGGCACUGGAAGUUUAUUAGGAGGCUUUGGUUUUGAUAAUUAUGGUGGCCGAUUGACAUAUCGUUUUAUGGGAUAUAUUUCUUUAGCUUCAGUUGUAGUUUACAAAUGCAUUACGGUGUUUGUAGCAGGAGAAAAUUUCAUGAUUAAAGAGAAAUUACGAAGAUGAUCUGCCAAAAGUGGACUAUCAACAAGAAAUUGUUACCAAUGAAACUCCAUUAUUUAUUCUAUUCGUUAGCAAUAGGAUCAGCAUUGAUUUAUUUUCCACUAAUAGCCAAAAACAUUGGAAUAAGUGCUACAGGAUUGGGUGUAAUGUUCACAGUUGUUCCCUUCGUCACUACACUAAUCAAUCCAUUAUUCGGAUGUAUC